CAGUAGCCACGGAAUACGAAGGGUGCAAGCGUUACUCGGAAUUACUGGGCGUAAAGCGUGCGUAGGUGGUGGUUUAAGUCCGUUGUGAAAGCCCUGGGCUCAACCUGGGAAUUGCAGUGGAUACUGGGUCACUAGAGUGUGGUAGAGGAUGGUGGAAUUUCCGGUGUAGCAGUGAAAUGCGUAGAGAUCGGAAGGAACAUCUGUGGCGAAGGCGACUAUCUGGGCCAACACUGACACUGAGGCACGAAAGCGUGGGGAGCAAACAGGAUUAGAUACCCCCGUAGUCCCUGUCUCUUAUACA
rnacentral:rRNA from 1 species